rnacentral:rRNA from 1 species
UAAUACGUAGGUGGCAAGCGUUGUCCGGAUUUACUGGGCGUAAAGCGUGUGUAGGCGGGACUUUAAGUAGCAAGUGAAAGGUUGGUGCUCAACACCAACACUGCUCGCUAUACUGGAGACCUUGAGUGCCGGAGAGGAAGAUGGAACUGCACGUGUAGCGGUGAAAUGCGUUGAGAUGUGCAGGAACACCAAUGGCGAAGGCAAUCUUCUAGACGGAAACUGACGCUGAGACACGAAAGCCAAGGGAGCGAACAGGAUUAGAUACCCUGGUAGUCUUGGCCCUAAACUAUGUUCACUAGGUGUUGGGGGUUUCCCUCAGUGCCGCAGCUAACGCAUUAAGUGAACCGCCUGGGGACUACGGCCGCAAGGUUG